UUUUAAUUUGACUUCUGUUUUAUUUCAAUUAAUCCAUGUACAAAUUCUCAUUAUUUUAAAAAUCUUUUUGGGGGAUUAUGAUUUCCUGACCCCACCUUACUUAGUUUAAUUUUUCAUAAUUUUCUUGAUUAAUUUACUAUUUAUUCUUGAUUUAUUUCUAACCUAGUUUUGUUAAUUAACUUUUGGUUUGACCUCUGUUUUAUUUCAAUUAAUUCAUAUACUAUUUUUCAUUAUUU
rnacentral:lncRNA from 1 species